AUGGCCGACGCGGGUCUAAGUGUAGUAUCUGUUCUUACCAGCUUAAUAUCUGAUGCAGGUUGUAUUUCGACCUAAUAUAUUAUUUUUGUAAGUUGGCGGAGUUAUUGAAGCCUGGUGGUCCCACUGUGGAGAAAUUCUCGACCUACGCGGCUCGACAGACGCGUGCAAUUUUUUUUUUUCCGGAGCCUAGCUAU